CCCACAACAAUAACACUCCCAUGCAUAAGGCAACAUAAUUUCUUUAGUGGUCCAUUGAGCAGACUCAUUUAGAUGUUUGAGCUAUAACCAUCGUCGUUUCAGGCAUUCUCUUGAUUACCUUUCAGAUAGCUAACAUGGGAAAAACUGCUCUGCUAGUUUUGUUUGUGGCAAUAACAAUGAUUAAUCAGUAUAAAGGCGAACCGAAUUUUGCAUGCGCUGGACGAGGUGGAUAUUGUUCCGUUUCUGAUACAUGUCCAUCAUUAGGAGGUUAUGUGGAAAAACUAGCCUUUAAGUGCACGUGUGGUAAAGCAUGUUGCAAAUGUACUGACACAUGUCCUGAUGGUUCUACAUGUAUGAGUGCAGAUGAAACCUGUGAAGGAAAAAAAGAUACAAACGGAUGUUGUGGCACCAGGUUUUGUU